rnacentral:rRNA from 1 species
GAUGAACGCUGGCGGCGUGCCUAACACAUGCAAGUCGAGCGAGAAACCAUCGAUUGAAACUUCGGUAGAUAUUGAAGGCGGAAAGCGGCGGACGGGUGAGUAACGCGUAGGCAACCUGCCCUUUGCAGAGGGAUAGCAACGGGAAACUGUUAUUAAAACCUCAUAAUACCGUAAUGUCAAAUGAUGAAACGGUCAAAGAUUUAUCGGCAAAGGAUGGGCCUGCGUCUGAUUAGUUAGUUGGUAGGGUAACGGCCUACCAAGGCAGCGAUCAGUAGCCGACCUGAGAGGGUGAUCGGCCACAUUGGAACUGAGACACGGUCCAAACUCCUACGGGAGGCAGCAGUGGGGAAUAUUGCACAAUGGGCGAAAGCCUGAUGCAGCAACGCCGCGUGAAGGAUGAAGGCCUUUGGGUCGUAAACUUCUGUCCUUGGGGAGAAAAAAUGACGGUACCCCUGGAGGAAGUCCCGGCUAACUACGUGCCAGCAGCCGCGGUAAU